AUUUGAACCACUGUUUUUCUGUUCAAUUUUCUUCCAUUAUUAUUUAUUUGAAGCACUGUUUUUCUUUUCAAUUUCUUUCCCAUCAUACUACUACUACUACUACUACUUCUUUUUUGGAAGUUGGUCUAUACUGAAGUAUGUACAGAUUGGCAUAAAGCCCAAAAAACUCUUAACAAUACGAAAAUAUUUAAUUCAACUCCUAAUUAAUCGUUGCAUGCAAUUAAGCUAUUGAAAUACUAUUUUUUAUUCAAUCAAUAGUAGCCUAAUUGUUGGUGUGCAUGCCUUGUUCUGUGUCUAGGUAUAGGGUUAAGGUCUUGUCAACACUUCUCGUUCAUCUGAUAACAGCAACAACAUCUAAGUAUUAAUUCCAAACUAGUUAGAGUCAACUAUAUGGAUUCUUUUUCGUUAUCCAGCUAUAUUUGAAAUCAAUUCCACAUGAACAUCCAAAAUUAUAGAUCAUUUGAUAGUACUUCUCUUCUUUUCCUUCUCACUUCUUCUACUACUAACUUAUCACUUCUUCUACCGCUAACUUAUCACAUUUCUGUACCAAAGAAUUUGAUACUCUAUGUUAGACAUGACCCAACCAUUUUAAUCGAUCUAUUUUUAUUUUAUUUCCAAAAUGGAGGAAAAGAAAAAAAAGAGGAAAGAAAAACAUUGGAACUGCAAGGAUUGCUCUGAUUACCACCAUUGGCACCACUGCCUUUUGUAUAGCUCCACUAAUUACCACCAUCAGCAACCCUGCCUCUUGUAUAGCUCCAUUGCCAUCACCCACAAUGUAACCACUACCAAACUCCAAAUCUGCACCAGAAAACAAAUAAAAGGUAUACAAAAAAAAAGAGAAAGAAAAACAAGGUAAUAUUUCUCAAGAACAUGCAAGCACCAGUUGUGCAACACUAAUAAAAUGAAGACUUAAUUUCUACUUUUUUUUUUGGUGCUUUGUAUUAUUGCUUCACUUAGCUUCUGGUUUA
rnacentral:misc_RNA from 1 species